rnacentral:rRNA from 1 species
UACAGAGGGGGCAAGCGUUAUUCGGAAUUAUUGGGCGUAAAGGGCGCGUAGGCGGCCUGGCAAGUGGAAGGUGAAAUCCCUCGGCUUAACCGAGGAACUGCCCUCCAAACUGCUUGGCUUGAGUCCGGGAGAGGUGAGUGGAAUUCCCAGUGUAGCGGUGAAAUGCGUAGAUAUUGGGAGGAACACCAGUGGCGAAGGCGGCUCACUGGACCGGAACUGACGCUGAGGCGCUAAAGCGUGGGGAGCAAACGGG